rnacentral:misc_RNA from 1 species
GAUUUGAGCUCCGGCUCUUCAUUUCCACACACCUGUGCACCGUGGUCUCCGGACCUACAAACAAUAGUGUAACGAACGUAUAAAUUAUAAUCAAUAAAACUUUUAACAACGGAUCUCUUGGCUCU